AUGCGCUUUGGUGUGCAUGAUGACCAUACUUUAUCCGCCGCCGCCGCCACCGGAGGAAGGGCCCCUCCCGAGACCCGCUUCUCCCUCGAGUCAGGUCGUGUGGGCGCCAUCGUCGUCUUCUGCCUUCGGUGCGUGGCACCGCUGCAGGAGAGAGCGACGAGGAGGUCCAGCAGUCCGUGCCUUUGUCAUCGUGUGGCGCCAAAAGAAGGACGAGGAGGCGGAGCAGUUCGUGGUGUCUUCGUCAUCGCCGGCCGUGCUGGUGUGUUGUGCUCCUUUCCCUGCUCAGCCGCCUAUGCUACUCGACCACCACGGGAUACAAGUAUGGCCCUGCCAUGGCUGAGUGGAGGAUGA
rnacentral:rRNA from 1 species